UCUUUCAGUUUCUCCGGAUGGGCCAGUGACUGAAGUCAGGUCUGGAUAAGUCGCUUCUGUUAGCCAGGGAGACCACUUAGGAGGGUAUUCAAAGUAAUGCCCCCUCUUUUACCUAUUUUCCCCACUGAGGCGGUCUAGUGUCUCCUUGGAGAAGAGCCAAAGCACUGCAGUCUAUAUUAACUGAAGGGGUCAGGAUGCUAUUUCUCAGCUUUAACCAGACCAACCAGCUUAUUGAGUCCCCGAGGGCCCACUGGUGACAACAUUCAGUUUUAGAUAAAUUACUUUGCUCUUGUGCUUAGGGAGAAAAAUGCACACGUGUGCUUUGUAGAUUUGACUUUAGUUGUUUGUUCUCAGAAGGCAGGCUGUUGGUUGUUUUUUCAGAAAUAAUUCCAUUGAAUUCCACAGCGUGGUGGGGUGUCCUAAGUAUGGCAUCUUAAUCUAGUCUUCACUUACAAUGUUAUGUCCAGUAAUAAGAAUUAAGUAAUUUUUAUUGAGUUAUGGGUGUGUGGGCAAUGACCAGCUCUAGAUGGCAGUAAACAGCAUCCUGCAGAAUCUGAACGAUGUCCGGGCUUCAGAAUUUUAGGAUCAGUUCUCAGAUAGGAAUGUCCAAGAUUCCUACAGUGUGAGGGAGUCCGCUGUUGUCUUCUCCUGCAUGCAAAUGCAGGUGUCCCUAGUGACCACGAGCUAGAGCAGAGAUAUGUAGCCCAGAGAUGGAUGCUAUGUGCAUAAGGAUACAGGACUGAAUACAGCCUCAGGUUGACCGAGGAGUGUUAUUUACACGACACCAUUCCUUAAUAUCAAAAAAUCAAUUGGCAGCUCUUAUAGUUGGGUGUUUGGAAUGCACAUAGACAUUUUACAAGGCUACUCUGAAGGGCACCCAAGAACAUAUACAAAAUACAAAUUGUACAGCUCUGACUCUAGGCUACAAUGAAAGGACAACCCAUUCGGUAAUGCAUGCUACAGGGAAUGACAGUUACUUCCCUCAGUGCUGUGACCAAUGGUAAGUUUCCCAAACUUUGGCAAAUAUGUCUCACCCUCCUACCCCACUCAUAAACCCGGUGGGCAGCAAUUUAAAAAGACGUGAAAGUAGGAGGGGAAAUUGUUGGAAAUAAUAAAGGGUUCAUCAGGAGAAGAAGGGGGAAAGAAAAGAAUAAUGGAAAUGAAUAUGUUCAAAAUGUGUUGCAUGUAUAUAUUCAAUUGUCAGUAUCGUAUACGUGUGUGAAAUUGUCACAAAAGAAAAUGUAAAGACAGAGAGACCCUCAUCCCCAACGUCAUGAUCUUCUUCCGUUUGCACUGCCCGUGUACUCAUGGGUGCAGGGUUGUUCAGUAGAACAUGCUGACUUACCAGCGUCCACACCAUUGAAGAAAACAGACGCUUCCUCCCAAGGAGCCAUAAUUGGCUUAAUCUAGUUCAGGUUUUAUGCAGGCAACCGGCAAUAAAAUAGGUCUAAUUGGAGGAGAAGAGAAUUGUAAGAAAAGUUUUUACAAUCACAUCAGACUAUGGGCUUGUCAAAGAAAAAUUGCCAAAGACACGGAAACAGUGUUGAUUUGAAGCUGCCAGGGGAAGGUAAAGUGGAAGUUUCUGGUGUCAUGUGCUGCAGAUUCAUGUGGUGUUUUGCUGAGGGAAGACCUGUGGUAGGACGUGUGAUGUUUGGAGAAAGUAUAAAUAAGACUCAAUGGACAGUGAUAGGACACCUGCAUAGCUAGCUUUGCAAAACUUUCUUGUUCUCAUGUCUUCGCAGAUUUUCACUUCACUGAGAGAGGCAGAGCAGAGAAUAUCUCCUGGUGUCCUUGCUAAUUCUGGUCAUUCCUGCUGACUUGUGCCAAUUUGGCGGAGGCCUGGCAGUUUCUGCUGGAUCUUGCUGCUGCUGCCGAUUCAAGUUUGGUAUCCUGACACUACUGUACUGAACUGCUGGUAUCCUGACAAAUGGAGAUUGGAAUCACCCCAGUGAAUUACUUUUAAACAGGUCCACACCCCCUUGUCUUAUUUACCAUCUUUUCUCCCUGUCUUUGGAUGGUGAGCUAGAAGGGGUGUGGAAGUGUUUGAGAAAUCUUAUUCAAAACCUAAAAAAGUAGGUUUUGAAAAACCUAAGCCUAAAGUCCACAGAAUUUGAUGCUCACUUGAAUGAAAAGGGGAAGAUAGAUUGAAGCGCAAUCAUCUAACUAGAGUUGGGCUCCCCAAACCAUGAUAUUAAUUUUUGAAAAUAGAAGAGGCACAUUUUUAAAUAAACAGACUGAGAGAUGGUCCAGUAAGAUUUAAAAAUAAAAAAAGUUUUAUCAGGCAACUGUGAAGAAC
rnacentral:lncRNA from 1 species